rnacentral:rRNA from 1 species
AGAGUUUGAUUCUGGCUCAGAACGUACGCUGGCGGCACGCCUAACACAUGCAAGUCGAACGAAGUAGCAAUACUUAGUGGCAGACGGGUGAGUAACAUGUAGGUAUCUGCCCUUUGGCCUGGAAUAACACGAGGAAACUUGUGCUAAUACCGGAUAAGUCUUUACGGAGAAAGCUUUAUGCACCAUUGGAUGAGCCUGCACUUGAUUAGUUUGUUGGUGGGGUAAUGGCCUACCAAGACUGUGAUCAAUAGCUGAUUUGAGAGGAUGAUCAGCCACAUUGGGACUGAGACACGGCCCAAACUCCUACGGGAGGCAGCAGUGGGGAAUCUUGCACAAUGGAGGAAACUCUGAUGCAGCGAUGCCGCGUGAGUGAAGAAGGCCCUUGGGUUGUAAAGCUCUUUCAUCGGGGAAGAAAAUGACUGUACCCGAAUAAGAAGGUCCGGCUAACUUCGUGCCAGCAGCCGCGGUAAUACGAAGGGACCUAGCGUAGUUCGGAAUUACUGGGCUUAAAGAGUUCGUAGGUGGUUGAAAAAGUUGGUGGUGAAAUCCCAGAGCUUAACUCUGGAACUGCCAUCAAAACUUUUCAGCUAGAGUUUGAUAGAGGAGAGCAGAAUUUCUAGUGUAGAGGUGAAAUUCGUAGAUAUUAGAAAGAAUACCAAUUGCGAAGGCAGCUUUCUGGAUCAUUACUGACACUGAGGAACGAAAGCAUGGGUAGCGAAGAGGAUUAGAUACCCUCGUAGUCCAUGCCGUAAACGAUGUGUGUUAGACGUUGGAAAUUUAUUUUCAGUGUCGCAGCGAAAGCGAUAAACACACCGCCUGGGGAGUACGACCGCAAGGUUAAAACUCAAAUGAAUUGACGGGGACCCGCACAAGUAGUGGAGCAUGUGGUUUAAUUCGAAGAUACGCGCAGAACCUUACCAACACUUGACAUGUUCGUCGCGACUUUAAGAGAUUAAAGUUUUCGGUUCGGCCGGACGAAACACAGGUGCUGCAUGGCUGUCGUCAGCUCGUGUCGUGAGAUGUUGGGUUAAGUCCCGCAACGAGCGCAACCCUCACUUUUAGUUGCCAUCAUUUAGUUGGGCACUCUGAAAGAACUGCCAGUGAUAAGCUGGAGGAAGGUGGGGAUGACGUCAAGUCCUCAUGGCCCUUACGUGUUGGGCUACACACGUGCUACAAUGGUAUUUACAACAGGAAGCAAGACGGCGACGUCAAGCAAAUCCUUAAAAGAUACCUCAGUUCGGAUUGCACUCUGCAACUCGAGUGCAUGAAGCUGGAAUUACUAGUAAUCGUGGAUCAGCGUGCCACGGUGUAUGCGUUCCCGGGUCUUGUACACACCGCCCGUCACACCAUGGGAGUUGGUUCUACCUUAAGGCAAGGUUUAAUACCCUUGACCACGGUAUAGUCAGCGACUGGGGUGAAGUCGUAACAAGGUAGCCAAGGG